GACGAACGCUGGCGGCGUGCUUAACACAUGCAAGUCGAACGGAAAGGCCCUGCUUGCAGGGUACUCGAGUGGCGAACGGGUGAGUAACACGUGGGUGAUCUGCCCUUCACAUCGGGGUAAGCCUGGGAAACUGGGGCGAAUACCGGAGAGGAGCCAGUAUUAGUGUGGGGGUUGGAAAGAUUUUUGGGUUUAGGCUGAGAUCGCGGCCUAUCCGCUUGUUGGGGGGGUAAUGGCCUACCAAGGCGGCGACGGGUAGCCGGCCUGCGGGGGGGGACGGGCACAAUAGGACUGCGAGACGGACCAGAAGGCUACGGGACGCAGCAGUGGGGAGUCUUGCACAAUGGGCGCAAGCCUGAUGAAGAGACGCCCCGGGGGGGAGGACCGGUUUUUGGUUGUAAACACGUUUCGUUAGGGACGAGGCUUUUUGUGACGGUACCUAGACAAGAAGCAACGGCUAACUACGUG
rnacentral:rRNA from 1 species